rnacentral:rRNA from 1 species
AACGAACGCUGGCGGCAGGCCUAACACAUGCAAGUCGAGCGGGGGAGCAAUCCCUAGCGGCGGACGGGUUAGUAACGCGUGGGAACGUGCCCAAAGGUACGGAAUAGCCUCGGGAAACUGAGAGUAAUACCGUAUGUGCCCCUCGGGGGAAAGAUUUAUCGCCUUUGGAUCGGCCCGCGUUGGAUUAGGUAGUUGGUGGGGUAAUGGCCUACCAAGCCGACGAUCAAUAGCUGGUUUGAGAGGAUGAUCAGCAACACUGGGACUGAGACACGGCCCAGACUCCUACGGGAGGCAGCAGUGGGGAAUCUUAGACAAUGGGGGAAACCCUGAUCUAGCCAUGCCGCGUGGACGAUGAAGGCCUUAGGGUUGUAAAGUCCUUUCAGAUGGGAAGAUAAUGACGGUACCAUCAGAAGAAGCCCCGGCUAACUCCGUGCCAGCCGCCGCGGUAAAAC